CAUUCGAACGCGAUUGUGUUUCCGUUUCCGUUUUACAACUUCUGUCAAUGCUGGUGAAUUACCUCAGAGCAGUGGCUAGCUAAUCAUUAAAAAAUGUGCAUCAUUAACACAUCUUAACAAAUAAACAAAAACAAAACAUGGCUCACAUUUGGGAACACACAUAAAUGGCUUCACCAGGAGGAGGGAAAAAGAUUGUUAUUUUUGAAGGCCGAUGUUCAGCCCAGCCAAUCAAGCAGCUCUUACAACAGUGGAUCUGUAGAGACGCCUGGAUGUGUUUGCAUCGCUGGUCUUGAAAAGUCAUGCAGCCUCAAUGUUGUGGAAGGUGCAGAAUGCAGUGUCCAGUGUGCUAUCUGGAAUAACCUGCACAGAUGAGCAGCGACAAUGGAAUGCAGGGAAUCGGAAGGAACCUUGAGCCACAGUGGUUAAACGGCAUUGACUUCACACACCAUAAGGCCAGUCACCAAUAUGCAGAAAAGCAUCCAGAAUGUCCACUCCUGCAUUCCACUCACAGGACGAAUUGAAUAGGAGCCCCGAGACACCUGAAUCUGCCUGUGGGGAGUCUGCUCUAUAAGUGUGUUAACGCUGAACCGACAAUAAUAUCACAGCCAGUAGUAUCCCAGCCACAUGGAGAGCAUGUCAAUUACAACUGCCAGAAGUCCUUUUACAAUGAAUUUGUGAAACGUGACCCAACCCAGUCCACUGCUUUGGAACAGAUCCCAAAGGUCAGAGUGCCUCACACUUGUGGCAUGACUCAAGGAAGCUUAGAGUUACUGCAAGCUCAACCAAGAAGGUCCCUGUCAGGGAAUCCACCAACCCUGGUAAGUUUCACCAGGAGCAUCUGUAUCCCAGGUUCCGAGGGAAUGCAGGCACACACUACGGGAAAGAUAGUGAGCUGAUGGCCUCCCAGUGGCUGGAAGACUGGAUACUCUGUGAACCACAGAGGCACUGUGGUCAGUGUUGAAGAGCCAUGGCUAUCAGCAAGCCCUGACGGAGUGCUGAACUCCAAGGAGCUGUUGGAGAUCAAGUGUCCUGUCAUGGGGACGGGCUGUGAUUCUCUGGAUGAUGUCUUCAAUGGGUAAGCCUGUGAUGUUAAUGUGGUGGAGGGUACAGCCCAACUGCAACCGCGUGGGCCACGUGGCUACAACAUAUUUUGCACAGGACUGCGUCCCAGCAAGUUGUCAUCCCUGUUCCCUAUGAUACACAGUCCUGUGCAGAGGCUGUUCUGAGGGUGAAGGCAUUCUACUCAACACACAUGCUGCCAUUUAAUCAGGCAGGCAGACUGUCACUGAGUGACAAAUACACCCAGCUCUGUAGAAGCAUGUAGUCAUGUAUUCCCUGUUUGCAGUCACAAUUAACACACUGUUUUUCAAUUAAAAAGCCUGAUUUA